CCUACGGGGGACAGCAGUGAGGAAUAUUGGUCAAUGGUCGGGAGACUGAACCAGCCAAGCCGCGUGAGGGAUGAAGGUACAGAGUAUCGUAAACCUCUUUUGUCAGGGAACAAAGGCGGGGACGUGUCCCCGGAUGCGUGUACCUGAAGAAAAAGCAUCGGCUAACCCCGUGCCAUCAGCCGCGGUAAUAGGGGGGAGGCGAGCGUUAUCCGGAUUUAUGGGGUUAAAAGGGUGCGCAGGCGGUCUGUUAUGUCAGCGGUAAAAGCCCGGGGCCAACCCCGGCCCCGCCGUUGAAACUGGCAGUCUCGAGUUGGAGAGAGGUAUGCGGAAUGCGCGGUGUAGCGGUGAAAUGCAUAGAGAUCGCGCAGAACUCCGAUUGCGAAGGCAGCAUGCCGGCUCCACACUGACGCUGAGGCACGAAAGCGUGGGUAUCGAACAGGAUUAGAUACCCCAGUAGUC
rnacentral:rRNA from 1 species